CCUAGCCCCCUUCUCAUCUCUUUCUAUGGUUAGUGCUCUGAUGUCCCGAUAUAGAUAAUCUUGAAGUAAUUCUUGAUUCUUAGAUCAACUAGAGAACUCUCAGGAAACUUCCUCUCUUCCCACCAAAAACAAUUAUAUAGUUAUCCUUGGGCGAUCUUGAUUCUUAAUUAGUACACUCACGUUCCCUGUGGAAAAUAGAUACUCUGGAAUACUCCCGGGUGAAGGCUACAUCGGUAUCCGUGCGCUUGCGGAUUUUUAUGUUUGCGUUUAAAAUACCCAACACUUACAUCUAGCAGCUUUUCUAGGACAUAGUCAGCCCC
rnacentral:lncRNA from 1 species